CUGUGCUCCUAAGUCUGUUUGGGGGGAGCAGAAGGGUCUUCCAUGCUGAUGAGUGGCAUGGUUCCUGCCUCAGAGGGAUCAGGAAACUCUCUGGCUACGUUAUCUACUGGCUGGAGAGGUUUUUGGUUUCCUG